CAUAAAACAACAUUGAAAUAUGUCUCAAUCAUUAUAACCAAGAUGGAGGUCUUGAGGCAACUGUGAAUUUGAUUUUACAAAAUAUGUUGUUUUGAUCUAUAUAAGUUUUAGAAAUACAAAUGAAAGAAAGGGGAUAGGCAAAGGUCAUAGCUGUUGGAGUGGUCAUCCAUAUAUAUAUAAAUAUGCAUGGGAAGAAUUCAUGGUUGAUGCUAAGUGGACGUAGGUUAGCUGUUUGUAACCUAAAGAAAGGAAGGGAAGUUGGGACCCCAUCCACCAAUCUGCAUAUUGUUGGUGGGUUCCAUUAAUAUUCUAAAUAUUGCAGUUGCUGAAGAACAAUAAUAAAAAAAUUUGGGCAAAGACAAGCUACUCUCACACUCGCUGCCUUUCACCAUGACUUUAGAUUAGUUGGAAAUCUGAACUCAACCAUGGCCCCAACUUUCGAAGUGUGGGUGAGGUGGAGGAUCCAUUCCAUGUUCCUCGCCCUUUUCUCUCAUCUCCUCCCAUUUCCAUUUUUCC
rnacentral:lncRNA from 1 species